rnacentral:rRNA from 1 species
ACAGAGGUGCUUGCACCUCUUGAGAGCGGCGGACGGGUGAGUAAAGCCUAGGAAUCUGCCUGGUAGUGGGGGAUAACGCUCGGAAACGGACGCUAAUACCGCAUACGUCCUACGGGAGAAAGCAGGGGACCUUCGGGCCUUGCGCUAUCAGAUGAGCCUAGGUCGGAUUAGCUAGUUGGUGAGGUAAUGGCUCACCAAGGCGACGAUCCGUAACUGGUCUGAGAGGAUGAUCAGUCACACUGGAACUGAGACACGGUCCAGACUCCUACGGGAGGCAGCAGUGGGGAAUAUUGGACAAUGGGCGAAAGCCUGAUCCAGCCAUGCCGCGUGUGUGAAGAAGGUCUUCGGAUUGUAAAGCACUUUAAGUUGGGAGGAAGGGCAGUAACCUAAUACGUUGGUGUUUUGACGUUACCGACAGAAUAAGCACCGGCUAACUCUGUGCCAGCAGCCGCGGUAAUACAGAGGGUGCAAGCGUUAAUCGGAAUUACUGGGCGUAAAGCGCGCGUAGGUGGUUCGUUAAGUUGGAUGUGAAAUCCCCGGGCUCAACCUGGGAACUGCAUUCAAAACUGUCGAGCUAGAGUAUGGUAGAGGGUGGUGGAAUUUCCUGUGUAGCGGUGAAAUGCGUAGAUAUAGGAAGGAACACCAGUGGCGAAAGCGACCACCUGGACUGAUACUGACACUGAGUGCGA